GUCGGGAAUAUUGCGCAAUGGAGGAAACUCUGACGCAGUGACGCCGCGUAUAGGAAGAAGGUUUUCGGAUUGUAAACUAUUGUCGUUAGGGAAGAAAAAAGACAGUACCUAAGGAGGAAGCUCCGGCUAACUACGUGCCAGCAGCCGCGGUAAUACGUAGGGAGCGAGCGUUAUCCGGAUUUAUUGGGUGUAAAGGGUGCGUAGACGGGUAAGCAAGUUAGUUGUGAAAUCCCUCGGCUUAACUGAGGAACUGCAACUAAAACUGCCUAUCUUGAGUGCAGGAGAGGUAAGUGGAAUUCCUAGUGUAGCGGUGAAAUGCGUAGAUAUUAGGAGGAACACCAGUGGCGAAGGCGACUUACUGGACUGUAACUGACGUUGAAGCACGAAAGUGUGGGGAGCAAACAGGA
rnacentral:rRNA from 1 species